rnacentral:rRNA from 5 species
GCCUGGCGGCAGUAGCGCGGUGGUCCCACCUGACCCCAUGCCGAACUCAGAAGUGAAACGCCGUAGCGCCGAUGGUAGUG